rnacentral:rRNA from 1 species
CCUACCAAGGCGACGAUCCGUAACUGGUCUGAGAGGAUGAUCAGUCACACUGGAACUGAGACACGGUCCAGCUUCAAACGGGAGGCAGCAGUGGGGAAUAUUGGACAAUGGGCGAAAGCCUGAUCCAGCCAUGCCGCGUGUGUGAAGAAGGUCUUCGGAUUGUAAAGCACUUUAAGUUGGGAGGAAGGUCAGUAAGCUAAUACCUUGCUGUUUUGACGUUACCGACAGAAUAAGCACCGGCUAACUCUGUGCCAGCAGCCGCGGUAAUACAGAGGGUGCAAGCGUUAAUCGGAAUUACUGGGCGUAAAGCGCGCGUUAGGUGGUUUGUUAAGUUGGAUGUGAAAGCCCCGGGCUCAACCUGGGAACUGCAUCCAUAACUGCCUGACUAGAGUACGGUAGAGGGUGGUGGAAUUUCCUGUGUAGCGGUGAAAUGCGUAGAUAUAGGAAGGAACACCAGUG